GGGGGCGUAGCUCAGCUUGGGAGAGCGUUUGACUGGCAGUCAAAAGGUCAUGGGUUCGAGCCCCACCGUCUCCACCA
rnacentral:tRNA from 1 species